rnacentral:misc_RNA from 1 species
ACCGGGGCGUCCGUACCCUUCGUAGGACCGAAAUUCCCCACGUUAUCGCCGGUUCUACAACAGCUCAUUGAUGACAACGAGCGCAAGAUCGUGACGACCUUAGGCUCAGAGUCUGUGUCCAGCUUCACCUCAGCCGAAGACGUCCGGAUGCUCCUGGGGCAGAGUGUGCUCCAGCCCCACAGCAUGUAGUGAGGCAGCUCAGGGGCGCCGCCGCCACACCAUUACCUGUAUUAUCGGUUUAUUAGGGCGAGACGUGCAGGGACGAACGCACAAGCCCGGAGUUAGCACGAAGGCAGGGCUCCGGCCGCAAGAUCUCCUCGGCCUCAGCGCCCUCACCAGCAUCCCGCACAGUCUGUAGACAUCGCCGCCGAAGAAGUCCCCGAAGAAGUCCCUCUCGUGUCCGAUUACCUCCGAUACGACCCGCGUGGUUGUCUCUCCCCCAGUUUGUUAACACGGCUCUGGCAGUGUUUUGUUUGUUGUUAGGAAGUGUGUUUUUUUUUUUUUCCUCGUUUUUAAUAUCUUCCAUUUUACGUGUUUUUUUUAUACCUUUCUUUUUAAAUGUUUCGUUUUUGUAUUUAAAUCCUGGAGAAUAGAGGAUGAUAAAUUCCGUUUAACAGGAGAGAAUUUGAGAUCAUGUGUUUUGUGAUAGUUUCAGAUCACCAUUUUUAGCAUAACUUCUUUCAUCAAAAGACUGCUGCAUUUUGAGUGGCAGAAACUGUAAAUAGAAUCCAUUCUUAAGUCGCUAAAGACCCACAACAAUCAUUAGAGCAUCACUUCUCUUUUUUUUUGACAUUCCUAAUAACAGUAAUGAUAAUUCCCAAUACAAAGGUGUGAUAAUGACUUUAAUAUUUAUUCACAUUCACCGUUGAUCAUCCGUCCCUUGUAAAAGUGUAAAGCCCCAUGGUAAAUGUUCA